GACGAACGCUGGCGGCGUGCUUAACACAUGCAAGUCGAACGGAAAGGCCCUGCUUUUGUGGGGUGCUCGAGUGGCGAACGGGUGAGUAACACGUGAGUAACCUGCCCUUGACUUUGGGAUAACUUCAGGAAACUGGGGCUAAUACCGUAUAGGAUCUCCUGCUGCAUUGUGUGGGUUGGAAAGUUUCGGCGGUUGGGGAUGGACUCGCGGCUUAUCAGCUUGUUUGUGGGGUAGUGGCUUACCAAGGCUUUGACGGGUAGCCGGCCUGAGAGGGUGACCGGCCACAUUGGGACUGAGAUACGGCACAGAAUCAUACGGGAGGAAGAAGUGGGGAAGAUUGAAAAAUGGGAGGAAGACUGAUGAAGAAACGCCGCGUGCGGGAUGACGGCCUUCGGGUUGUAAAAAGAUUUAGAAUGAGAAGAAGCGUGAGUGAAGGUAAUGGGUAAAGAAGCAACGGAUAAAUACGGG
rnacentral:rRNA from 1 species